GAGACUCUUCUGAUAGCAAGACU
rnacentral:sRNA from 1 species